CCUACGGGAGGCAGCAGUGGGGAAUAUUGCACAAUGGGGGAAACCCUGAUGCAGCGACGCCGCGUGAGCGAUGAAGUAUUUCGGUAUGUAAAGCUCUAUCAGCAGGGAAGAAAAUGACGGUACCUGACUGAGAAGCCCCGGCUAACUACGUGCCAGCAGCCGCGGUAAUACGUAGGGGGCCAGCGUUAUCCGGAUUUACUGGGUGUAAAGGGAGCGUAGACGGGGGUGCAAGCCAGAGGUGAAAGACUGGGGCUAAACCCCGGGACUGCAUUUGGAACUGUGCUGCUAGAGUGUCGGAGAGGCAAGCGGAAUUCCUAGUGUAGCGGUGAAAUGCGUAGAUAGUAGGAGGAACACCAGUGGCGAAGGCGGCCUGCUGGACGAUGACUGACGUUGAGGCUCGAAAGCGUGGGGAGCAAACAGGAUUAGAUACCCCUGUAGUC
rnacentral:rRNA from 1 species